rnacentral:rRNA from 1 species
UACAGAGGGGGCUAGCGUUGUUCGGAAUUACUGGGCGUAAAGCGCACGUAGGCGGCUUUGUAAGUUAGAGGUGAAAGCCCGGGGCUCAACUCCGGAAUUGCCUUUAAGACUGCAUCGCUAGAAUUGUGGAGAGGUGAGUGGAAUUCCGAGUGUAGAGGUGAAAUUCGUAGAUAUUCGGAAGAACACCAGUGGCGAAGGCGACUCACUGGACACAUAUUGACGCUGAGGUGCGAAAGCGUGGGGAGCAAACAGG